rnacentral:rRNA from 1 species
UACGUAGGUGGCAAGCGUUGUCCGGAAUUAUUGGGCGUAAAGCGCGCGCAGGCGGUCUUUUAAGUCUGAUGUGAAAGCCCACGGCUCAACCGUGGAGGGUCAUUGGAAACUGGAAGACUUGAGUGCAGAAGAGAAGAGUGGAAUUCCACGUGUAGCGGUGAAAUGCGUAGAGAUGUGGAGGAACACCAGUGGCGAAGGCGACUCUUUGGUCUGUAACUGACGCUGAGGCGCGAAAGCGUGGGGAGCAAACAGG